rnacentral:rRNA from 1 species
GACGAACGCUGGCGGCGUGCUUAACACAUGCAAGUCGAACGGAGAGGCCCUGCUUUUGUUGGGUGCUCGAGUUGCGAACGGGUGAGUAACACGUGAGUAACCUGCCCUUUACUUUGGGAUAACUUCAGGAAACUGGGGCUAAUACCGCAUAGGAGCUCCUGCUGCAUGGUGGUGGUUGGAAAGUUUCGGCGGUUUGGGAUGGACUCGCGGCUGAUCAGCUUGUUGGUGGGGUAGUGGCUUCCCAAGGCCUGGGCGGGGAGCCGGCCUGGGAGGGUGACCGGCCACAGUGGGACUGAGAUACGGCCCAGACUCAUACGGGAGGAAGCAGUGGGGAACAGUGCACAAUGGGCGGAAGCCUGAAGGAGCAACGCCGGGUGCGGGAUGACGGCCGUCGGGUUGUAAACCGCUUUCGCCUGGGACGAAGCGUGAGUGACGGUAAUGGGUAAAGAAGCACCGGCUAACUACGUG